UCUUCCCUCCAUCUCCAUCUCUCACAAUCCAAACAUAGGUUAAAGGCUAACUUCUUUUUUUGAGGAUAAAGUUAAAGGCGAACUUCAAGAAGCAAAAAGAAGGUUAUUUCCAUUAAAGAAUGCCCCUGCAAAAGAAAAGGUGGCUAGAAUCCAUGACAUCAUUAACAAGAAAGGAGAGAGAGCAGGAUUUAUGACUUUAGGGGAGUUGGCUAAGGACCUUAAGGCUUUGGGAGGUAUUUGGAACGCAUUGGCUGAAGUUAAAGUAAACAAAUAGUCAUGCUGAUUGUCAACUAUUUGCCUAUGAUGGCUAUCUCAAGACAAAACCCAAUCUCUUGUAGAUUUUUGUAAGUAACAUCUGCACACGAGUGCUUCGUUAAUAUGGGAAUUCUCUUGAUAACAUGAACCAACGGAAAUUCAAUUUUGUAAUUUGCAUAGAUUAUACUCUCAAUGCCAUGCUAGGUAUUGUUCUUGAACUUUGAUGUUUUAACUUUGAUGCUAGGUUUGUUGUUACUUACUAUCGACAUGUUGCCUUUCCCUUGGUGCACUUUUAUUGUUUCUAAUGAAUCUGAUCACACUUCUCUUAUAUAAGGCUUAACGAAUUGAUGUUUAUCCUGUAAUCUGG